rnacentral:lncRNA from 1 species
GAUUAAUCCUGAAGUGAGAAAUAAUGAUAGACUGGUAGACUGAGCUUUGGCAUUAAUUCCUUUUGGUUGAAAUGGCUGAUUGACUCUUACUGUAGCACGUCUGCUGCCUCUCUUAAGUUCUAACUUAACUCUUCAGAAUUCAAUAGCAACUCCUGGAAGGCGCAGAGAUGAAGAUAACAAACCAUUCAUCAUUCUUUAUUGGAAUGUGAGACCUUCACACGGGGCUCGCAGAUGUGACACAAUGGGAUGAACUUCAUUCGUGAUGUGUAGAAAUUACUAAAGCAACAGCAGCUCCUGUGUCAGGACAGAAACUUGAAGCUAAAGUUCUUAUUCCAACUUUACUCAUAUAAGAAAGGGCCUCUAUGAGACUUCUGCCUGCUUGUAAUCAUCAGGAGUUGACCUCCAGG